UACGAAGGGGGCUAGCGUUGUUCGGAAUUACUGGGCGUAAAGCGCACGUAGGCGGACUAUUAAGUCAGGGGUGAAAUCCCGGGGCUCAACCCCGGAACUGCCUUUGAUACUGGUAGUCUCGAGUCCGGAAGAGGUGAGUGGAAUUCCGAGUGUAGAGGUGAAAUUCGUAGAUAUUCGGAGGAACACCAGUGGCGAAGGCGGCUCACUGGUCCGGUACUGACGCUGAGGUGCGAAAGCAUGGGGAGCGAACAGG
rnacentral:rRNA from 1 species